UGUGUAUGAGUAAUAUAUCGUCACAUAUUUGAUUUGUGAGACAGAUUGCUGUGACACAACGAUAUUGGAAGGACACUGGAACAAGCUUCACUUCGACCAAUAAUUUUAUGAGACUCAAGAGAAGAGUUAGCUGGAAACACGAAUAAACUGAAAAUUGAAGUAGGCUACGAGUGAACGCGAUGCUGCAGCUCUUGAGAAAGAAACGGAUCUCAGGAAAAGACACGCCGUCUUUCUAUGAUCUACGAGGCCGGCGCCUGCCUGAGGAGUCAUCCCUACCUGUGAUUCAUGCACAGCUGGCCCACCUGACAAGUACAAAUGGUGUCUCCUUACAUCCACAUUAAUGAAAUCCCAGAAGACCAGAGAUGAUGCAUGGAGAAGGGCAUGUUAUAUAAUACAUGACCUCAAUUUGGCCUUCUUAAUGACAAAUGAAUUAGGAUUCACCUAAAGACAAUGUCACUGUGCACCAAUAGAUGGCAGCACCAUGCAGUUCUACUGAAGAAAAGUCACCAUCAUAGCUUGGAUGGCCUGAGGGUGAGUAAAUUGCAAACUGCAUUUUUGGUGAUCCAAACGUUUAAAAUAUUUUUCUCAUAAACCUUACUGUGAAAACAAUAAUUGUAGGUUUUGUAAACACAAUCACUGCUCUGUUUCGGGCAUCUCAAGGACAACACAACAAAGCCAUAUUGGCUCGAACAAAAGCAUGAGUUUAAGGCGGAACUAUGUGUUUCUAAGAUGUGAAUUUGGUGACUUUUAAAUCAACAGUUAGUCUCAGAAUGCUGUGUUACUUGGAGAUAUAAUAAUAUAACAUUUCAUGUCAGUUGGCUCUCUAUGUGGGUUUGUUAUAUUAUCAGUUGUAGUGGUAAUUUUGGCAAUGAAAAUAUAUUAGGCCAAAACAUUUUUUAUAAGCACUAUAAUUGGAGAAAGAUUAACCAAUGGCGUAAUCCACCAACAUCACAAGUGUCUAAAUACAGGCACAAAAUAAUUUCCUGGUACCAGAGGUCUAUAAAUUUGUUACGGUGAAUCUUUGAGGUUUUUCUGUUAGGGAAUAAACAUUUUCAGAUGCUUUCAAUUUACGGUCAUCCGAGGACACAGGCAACGGCACAAAAUCCCACGGAAAGUUACCUACCAACUCCUGCAAACAGAGUUGAGGAGGACUGCAGUUAUGAUGUAACA